rnacentral:lncRNA from 1 species
GAAAACAUUUAUUUCAUCUGCAGGACCUGAUGAACUGCUAAGAAGAACUGAGUUUUCAAUUUAAUAGUCACAUGGAACAUAGUUUGAAAUUUCUUGGGGUCUAAUAAUGUUCGUUAAUUGAUACACUUGCCUGAAUAUAACUGUGACAUUAAGUUGAAAAUAGUCUGCUGUUUUUUUUAAAUUUCCCAAAAUGGAUCAUUAUUAUAGAAUUAGAAACAAAGUUGUUUUUAUUACUUAAUAUAGAACUAGUACAUUUGUUUUUAUAAUGAGUAAAAUGUGAAACAAAGC